rnacentral:rRNA from 1 species
AACGAACGCUGGCGGCAUGCCUAACACAUGCAAGUCGAACGAGACCUUCGGGUCUAGUGGCGCACGGGUGCGUAACACGUGGGAAUUUGCCUCGGGGUAUGGAAUAAACUCAGGGAAACUUGAGCUAAUACCAUAUAAUGUCUUCGGACCAAAGAUUUAUCGCCCUGAGAUAAGCCCGCGUAGGAUUAGCUAGUUGGUGGGGUAAAGGCUCACCAAGGCGACGAUCCUUAGCUGGUCUGAGAGGAUGAUCAGCCACACUGGGACUGAGACACGGCCCAGACUCCUACGGAGGCAGCAGUGGGGAAUAUUGGACAAUGGGCGAAAGCCUGAUCCAGCAAUGCCGCGUGAGUGAUGAAGGCCUUAGGGUUGUAAAGCUCUUUACCCGUAGAUGAUAAUGACAGUAUCGGGAGAAUAAAGCUCCGGCUAACUCCGUGCCAGCAGCCGCGGUAAAG